CAUUCAAAGAGUGCGUAAUAGCUCACUGGGCGAGUGAUCCUGCGCCGAAGAUUUCCGGGGCUAAAAUUUACUACCGAAGCUACGGCAUCAGUAAUGACGGGCAGGGGAGCUUCCAAUUCGGGCUGAAGCACGACCGUAAGGACAUGUGGACAGUAUGGGAGUGAGAAUGUUGGCAUGAGUAGCGAGAUGUGGGUGAGAAUCACACAGGCCGUAAACCCAAGGUUUCAAGGGGAAGGUUCGUCCGCCCUGGGUUAGGCGGGACCUAAGCUGAGGCCGAAAGGCGUAGGUGAUGGACAACAGGUGGAUAAUCCUGUACUACGGAUAACCGUUGGAGAGAAGGGAUGCCACAGUAGGAUAAGCUAAGCACCCUGUUGGGUAUGUGUGCCCAAGCAUUGAGGAAGUCAAAGUAGGCAAAUCCGCAUUGAUAAUGCUGGGAUGUACAGGGGAGAGAAA
rnacentral:rRNA from 1 species